GCCUACAAUGUAGACACUAGAAAGAACAAAGAUGCAGACUCUUAAACAAGAGAAAGGCACAUAAAAACGAGUUUACAACUCAAAUAUCAAUAUGAUAAUUCAAACAACUUCUCCCCUCUUUCUUUAUAAAUACAAGUAUUUAUAGGCUUACAACUUAAAGUGAAAAAUAUGAAAAGACAUAAAAAGAUAAAGGCUUAAAAUAUAACUCCUUAAAAACUAAAUGAUUUCAUAAAAUGUCAUUAACCUAGGAAUUCCAUAAGCCACAAAUUUAAAGCUAGAUACGUGCAUUAUAACUCUAAAAAUGCAUGUAUUAUAUUAUAAAACUUAAAUCUCAGCUACCAGUAAUUUUAUGUAAUAACACCUUUAGUCCUUGGCCUGCAUCAUUCUCGUGGGGUUGGAGAGAAUUCGUCCUCGAAUUUGGAUCAUCAUUUGAUUUGGAGUGAUAAAAUUGAAUUAUGCCGGUCCAAACAAAUGGAUAUUUGGAGCAUUUAAUAUUGACUGUUGAAGUGUGAAAAGCACCCUUAAUAGCAUACCUCGCAACCUUGACAUUCUUUUUCAUUUAAUUUAUAAUGUCAACCAAAACUUUGGAAAUUCUGAAGUAGAAAACAUCAACCCCAAUAAAAUCAACAUAUCUUGAAGUUUCUAAUGAACUCAUUAAAUCAUGAAACCCCAACUUCACAAAUUCUUUGUAAUCAGCAUUUUUAAUAAUUAGACAAGAUUCCAUAUCAACAUUUCGUUGAACCACACAAGAACUUUGACAACAAACCUGAUAAGUACCAUAUGGAGAAUGAUCAAACUCGGGAAGAAGAUCAAGAUUUACGAGACAAUCACCUGAAUAAUUUUCACAACAUAUUGGACAUGAAUUAUCCAAGCAACGAUCAAAUAUUGGAGGAAGGUCCAGAUUAAGAUCUUCAUCUAAUGGCAUCUGCGACAUGCUGAACAUAGCGUUACCCUUCGAUCAAGCUGACGCUCUAAUACCAACUGAUGUAGGGCACAGCAAACAAAAAAGAAUAAAAUGAAAUGAGAACAAAAAAUUAGGAUAAAAAGGAUGGAUAGGUAGGGUUCACUAUCUCCUAGUGCGAGGAGAGGCCUGAAAACCCUAUAAACUUUGGUUAUAGUACCAGCCUACAAUGUAGACACUAGAAAGAACAAAGAUGCAGACUCUUAAACAAGAGAAAGGCACAUAAAAAUGAGUUUACAACUCAAAUAUCAAUAUGAUAAUUCAAACAACUUCUCCCCUCCUUCUUUAUAAAUACAAGUAUUUAUAGGCUUACAACUUAAAGUGAAAAAUAUGAAAAGACAUAAAAGAUAAAGGCUAACAAUAUAACUCCUAAAAAACUAAAUGAUUUCAUAAAAUGUCAUUAACCUAGGAAUUC
rnacentral:lncRNA from 1 species